rnacentral:rRNA from 1 species
UACGUAGGGGGCUAGCGUUGCUCGGAAUCACUGGGCGUAAAGCGCACGUAGGCGGAUUGUUAAGUCAGGGGUGAAAUCCUGGAGCUCAACUCCAGAACUGCCUUUGAUACUGGCGAUCUCGAGUCCGGGAGAGGUGAGUGGAACUGCGAGUGUAGAGGUGAAAUUCGUAGAUAUUCGCAAGAACACCAGUGGCGAAGGCGGCUCACUGGCCCGGUACUGACGCUGAGGUGCGAAAGCGUGGGGAGCGAACAGG